UAGGGAAUCUUCCACAAUGGACGAAAGUCUGAUGGAGCAACGCCGCGUGAGUGAAGAAGGGUUUCGGCUCGUAAAACUCUGUUGUUGGUGAAGAAGGAUAGAGGUAGUAACUGGCCUUUAUUUGACGGUAAUCAACCAGAAAGUCACGGCUAACUACGUG
rnacentral:rRNA from 1 species